UCUCCGGUAGUAUAGUGGCUAGUAUCGCCCCCUGUCACGGGGCAGACCCGGGUUCAAUUCCCGGCCGGAGAG
rfam:Gonapodya prolifera JEL478 unplaced genomic scaffold M427scaffold_57, whole genome shotgun sequence.